rnacentral:rRNA from 1 species
AGAAUCAACGCUGGCGGCGUGCCUAACACAUGCAAGUCGCACGAGAAAGGGACUUCGGUCCUGAGUACAGUGGCGCACGGGUGAGUAACACGUGAAUAAUCUACCUCCGAGUGGGGAAUAACUGAGAGAAAUCUUAGCUAAUACCGCAUAACACUUACGAGUCAAAGCAGCAAUGCGCUUGGAGAGGAGUUCGCGGCAGAUUAGUUAGUUGGCGGGGUAAUGGCCCACCAAGACGAUGAUCUGUAUCCGGCCUGAGAGGGCGCACGGACACACUGGAACUGAAACACGGUCCAGACUCCUACGGGAGGCAGCAGUGGGGAAUUUUGCGCAAUGGGGGAAACCCUGACGCAGCAACGCCGCGUGGAGGAUGAAAUCCCUUGGGAUGUAAACUCCUUUCGAUCGGGAAGAUAAUGACGGUACCGAGAGAAGAAGCCCGGCUAACUUCGUGCCAGCAGCCG